rnacentral:rRNA from 1 species
CCAGUAACGGCGAGUGAAGCGGCAAGAGCUCAAAUUUGAAAUCUGGCCUCCCCCGGGGGCCCGAGUUGUAAUUUGCAGAGGAUGCUUCGGGUGCGGCCGCCGUCUAAGUUCCUUGGAACAGGACGUCAGAGAGGGUGAGAAUCCCGUCUUGGGCGGGCGGUCCGCGCCCGUGUGAAGCUCCUUCGACGAGUCGAGUUGUUUGGGAAUGCAGCUCUAAGCGGGUGGUAAAUUUCAUCUAAAGCUAAAUAUUGGCCGGAGACCGAUAGCGCACAAGUAGAGUGAUCGAAAGGUUAAAAGCACCUUGAAAAGGGAGUUAAACAGCACGUGAAAUUGUUGAAAGGGAAGCGCUUGCGGCCAGACUCGGGGGCGGGGUUCAGCGGGUGCUCGUCGCCCGUGUAUUCCUCGUCUCCCGGGCCAGCAUCAGUUUCGACGGCCGGUCAAAGGCCCCCGGAAUGUGUCGUCUCUCGGGACGUCUUAUAGCCGGGGGUGCAAUGCGGCCCGUCGGGACUGAGGAACGCGCUCCGGCUCGGAUGCUG